ACGCUCGACACCUACGGGGAGGCAGCAGGUGGGGAAUAUUGCACAAUGGGGGAAACCCUGAUGCAGCGACGCCGCGUGAGCGAAGAAGUAUUUCGGUAUGUAAAGCUCUAUCAGCGAGGGAAGAAAGUGACGGUACCUGACUAAGAAGCACCGGCUAAAUACGUGCAAGCACGCCGGACGGUAAUCUGAGCGGGCUGGCAAGGC
rnacentral:rRNA from 1 species